CCGCCAUUAGCUUAGCUAUCGUGUCGCAUGCAUUGCAUUGCAUGAUUUUUUCUUUCAUUCGUUUUGAAAUCUUGCUGCGCGUGGUUUGGUCAAUCUUCAAACAUAGUUUCCACAUCAUCUAAAAUGAAGACAAGCUGUUAUCAUCGCGGAACAAUGGACGCAUUGCAGUGGAAAUUUCCAGAAGACAGAAAUGACGAUAGCAGCGGACUGGGCGCGUUUACUUGAAGAGGGUUUACUCAGAAGCCUGACAGAUCAAGAAAAGGGUUGAAAAAGAUGAACAGCAUAAAGAUACCCGGAUAAAGGGUAACAGGUAUAACACGGAUCAGUAGAACGAAGAGUAACUGACACCUCAGUUUAUCUUUGUUCCUUAAGUACUUUCAUAUUUCUAUGCAUUCCCAUCGCCCAGCGUUCUUAAUUUCAGUUUGAAAUUAAGUCGACGUACCU
rnacentral:lncRNA from 1 species